GUGAAUCAUCGAAUUUUUGAACGCAAAUUGCACUCUCCUCUGAGAGGAUGCCUGUUUGAGGUUCAGCCUAUAUAAAAUCGACAUCAUUGCUGUUUCGCGGUGGCGGUCGUCGGAAAUUGGGUCAGCUUAAAUCCUUUUGGUUUUUAAGCGACUUAAAAUUUUCUGUUUGGUUCCAUGAACGUUUCUAAUAUUUAUUUUUUUACACGGUUAAGU
rnacentral:misc_RNA from 1 species